rnacentral:rRNA from 1 species
GACGAACGCUGGCGGCGUGCUUAACACAUGCAAGUCGAACGGAAAGGCCCUGCUUUUGUGGGGUGCUCGAGUGGCGAACGGGUGAGUAACACGUGAGUAACCUGCCCUUGACUUUGGGAUAACUUCAGGAAACUGGGGCUAAUACCGGAUUGGAGCUCCUGCUGCAUGGUGGGGGUUGGAAAGUUUCGGCGGUUGGGGAUGGACUCGCGGCUUAUCAGCUUGUUGGUGGGGUAGUGGCUUACCAAGGCUUUGACGGGUAGCCGGCCUGAGAGGGUGACCGGCCACAUUGGGACUGAGAUACGGCCCAGACUCCUACGGGAGGCAGCAGUGGGGAAUAUUGCACAAUGGGCGGAAGCCUGAUGCAGCAACGCCGCGUGCGGGAUGACGGCCUUCGGGUUGUAAACCGCUUUCGCCUGUGACGAAGCGUGAGUGACGGUAAUGGGUAAAGAAGCACCGGCUAACUACGUGCCAGCAGCCGCGGUGAUACGUAGGGUGCGAGCGUUGUCCGGAUUUAUUGGGCGUAAAGGGCUCGUAGGUGGUUGAUCGCGUCGGAAGUGUAAUCUUGGGGCUUAACCCUGAGCGUGCUUUCGAUACGGGUUGACUUGAGGAAGGUAGGGGAGAAUGGAAUUCCUGGUGGAGCGGUGGAAUGCGCAGAUAUCAGGAGGAACACCAGUGGCGAAGGCGGUUCUCUGGGCCUUUCCUGACGCUGAGGAGCGAAAGCGUGGGGAGCGAACAGGCUUAGAUACCCUGGUAGUCCACGCUGUAAACGGUGGGUACUAGGUGUGGGGUCCAUUCCACGGGUUCCGUGCCGUAGCUAACGCUUUAAGUACCCCGCCUGGGGAGUACGGCCGCAAGGCUAAAACUCAAAGGAAUUGACGGGGCCCCGCACAAGCGGCGGAGCAUGCGGAUUAAUUCGAUGCAACGCGUAGAACCUUACCUGGGUUUGACAUGGAUCGGGAGUGCUCAGAGAUGGGUGUGCCUCUUUUGGGGUCGGUUCACAGGUGGUGCAUGGCUGUCGUCAGCUCGUGUCGUGAGAUGUUGGGUUAAGUCCCGCAACGAGCGCAACCCUUGUUCACUGUUGCCAGCACGUUAUGGUGGGGACUCAGUGGAGACCGCCGGGGUCAACUCGGAGGAAGGUGGGGAUGACGUCAAGUCAUCAUGCCCCUUAUGUCCAGGGCUUCACGCAUGCUACAAUGGCUGGUACAGAGAGUGGCGAGCCUGUGAGGGUGAGCGAAUCUCGGAAAGCCGGUCUCAGUUCGGAUUGGGGUCUGCAACUCGACCUCAUGAAGUCGGAGUCGCUAGUAAUCGCAGAUCAGCAACGCUGCGGUGAAUACAUUGCCGGGGCU